GCAGAAGUUUUUCCCCGUGGUCUGGUCACAGCUGUGCUGAGGAACAGGAAGACCCACGGCCACAUAAAGGAGACCUGUGGAAAAGCCUUGGUGCCCAGAGGGAAUCCUGACCAGUGGCGUGGAGAGCUGCAGGAUUCCCCAGAGGAACAGCGGCUGUCUCUACUCCUACUGGAUCUUCAGAAGAAGAAUACAUCCUUCUCUACAGAUCCCCCUCGCUCCAACAAAACCACACCUGAUACUUCAGGAUGUCUGCAGCCACAUUUCCAAUUGGACUGUCACCCACACCCUGACCAGCAGGGUGUCAGGGGUCCAGAAACUGAAAGGGUUCCAGCUGGAGAGUGGAUCUGUGAGGUAUGCGGCAGAGACUUCACAACCAAAAUUGGCCUGGGACAACACAAAAGAUUGGCACACCCGUUGAUAAGAAACCAAGAAAGGAUCGUUGCUUCCCAACUGAAAAAAACAUCAAAUCGAGGAGCCCACAAAAGAUGCUGGACAAAAGAGGAGGAAGAACUGCUGAUCAGACUGGAGGCACAGUUCGAGGGAAACAAAAACAUUAAUAAACUUAUCGCUGAACACAUGACAACCAAAACAGCUAAGCAAAUUAGUGACAAACGAAGAUUGCUGCCUAGGAAACCAGCAGAUGGAGCUGACAGAGGAACUGUUGUGAGUCACCUUACCAGGAGAGCAGCUGAGGGCAUGGGAAUGGAACCCGAGUUGAGUCAGCAAUCCCAGACAAGAACCGAGGACAAUGAACCUGGGGAGAACCAUCUGCCAGCGAGGCCAGCUGCCAGAGGGAAAACAAUGGAUAAGUUAAGAGGACACCCUGAUAAGGAUAACUGUCACCAGAAACCAGCAGAGGGCGGGGCAGCUGCAGGCUCAUUACCAAAAGACAAUCAAGGAACACUUAUCAGCUGGAGCCAUUAACCACUUCCCCAGAGCAUUCAAGCAAUUGAUGGAUGGCCAGGAGAUGCUCAGAAUAAUUAAUCAGGCAGUGCAGGACUGCUUUGAAUGCCUAGAAUCAAUAAGCCAAAUAAGAAAUGUUACACGUGGAAAAAAUGGGAAGGAAACCCAGGAGAAGCAACCAAGAAAGCUGUUUCAGAACUGGAUGAAACACAGAGUGAUCAAAAACCGUAAUUACCUUCACUUUCAGCGUUUAUUCCAUCUUGACAGCGGGAAACUAGCAAAAAUUGUUUUGGAUGAUGUAGAGUGUUUGUCCUGGGAUAUAUCACCCAGUGAAAUUUACUCGGUAUUUAAAGCCAGAUGGGAAACAUCUGGUAAUUUUCCUGGCAUCGGGGAAUUUGAAUUUAAUGGGAAGGCAGACAACAGCACCUUCAGAGACUUACUCAUGGCCAAAGAAAUUGAAAGAAAUGUGCAGGAAAUAAGAAAGGGCUCGGCUCCAGGUCCAGAUGGGAUUACUCUUGGGGACAUCAAAAAGAUGGAUCCCAGGUAUUCCCGGACAGCUCAGCUCUUCAACUUAUGGUUAACAUCUGGGGAGAUCCCAGACAUGGUGAGGGGGUGCAGAACUCUUUUGAUUCCUAAAUCUACAAUGCCGGAACGUUUGAAGGACAUUAAUAACUGGAGGCCUAUCACAAUCAAUUCCAUCUUGUUGAGACUGUUCUCCAGGAUUGUAACAGCAAGGCUGAGCAAAGCGUGCCCCCUCAACCCAAGGCAAAGAGGCUUUAUUAGAGCAGCAGGAUGCUCUGAAAACCUGAAACUCCUGCAAACUAUAGUUCGGACUGCCAAAAGUGAACACAGACCACUGGGUUUUGUAUUUGUGGACAUCGCCAAGGCUUUUGACACCGUAGGCCACCAUCACAUCAUACAUGCUUUGCAGCAGAGGAGAGUGGAUCCCCACAUCAUCGGCCUGAUGAAUAAUAUGUACAAAGACUUCAGUAUGUAUGUCACCACAAAAAUGAACACACGCACAGACAAAAUCCAGAUCCGGGUUGGAGUAAAGCAGGGUGACCCACUGUCCCCCCUUUUAUUUAAUCUGGCAAUGGACCUCCUGUUGUGCAAGCUGGAAGAGAGUGGUAAAGGAUUCCACUGAGGACAGAGUAGUAUAACUGCAAUGGCAUUUGCCGACGAUCUGGUGUUGUUGAGCGACUCCUGGGAAAACAGGAAAACGAACAUCAAGAUAUUAGAGACCUUCUGCGAUCUCACCGGUCU